rnacentral:rRNA from 1 species
UACGGAGGGGGCGAGCGUUAUUCGGAAUUAUUUGGGCGUAAAGGGCUCGUAGGCGGUUUUGUCGCGUCGGGAGUGAAGACCUCGGGCUUAACUCGGGGCUUGCUUUUCGAUAACGGGCAGACUAGAGGUAUGCAGGGGAGGAACGGAAUUCCCGGUGUAGCGGUGAAAUGCGCAGAUAUCGGGAGGAACACCAGUGGCGAAGGCGGCGAUCUGGGAAGAUACUGACGCUGAGGUGCGAAAGCGUGGGGAGCAAACAGGG